rnacentral:lncRNA from 1 species
AGAGGAGAGGAGAGGAGAGGAGGGGAGGUGAGGGGAGGAGAGGUUUUGGUUUUCAAAAUCUCUUUACUAUACCAUAAUAAGACCUAUUACAUCAACCACACCAAAAAUAAACAAAGGAAAAUGCCUCCCCAAAACCCCAAAAACAGCUUCUCGAAAGGUCAAACAGUGCUGCUGUGUAUCUGGUCUGUCCGCGAUGUGUAGAUGCUGAAGGAGGCUUCGUGACACUGGCUUUCUUGUAUAACUGGAAUUUAUUACAAAGACUACCGUGAGCACUGCACAAACAAAUGUGCCUAGGUUUCUGUAAACGGUGACCAAAUGGUCACCCCGACCCCAGCUCCUGAUCAAGGUGCGCUCUGUUUCUGUUCAUAGCUAUCACUUAUAUCAAAGUGAUUAUUGUGAUAAUUGUGAUAUUUUAUGGCCAUGACAAUCAUGAGGUGAACAUUUGAUAUCCUGACACCUCUCAUUCAGACACAGGGUGGCGCUGUUUACCUUAAAUUGAAACAAAUCAAAACUUUCUCCAAAAACAAUGCCAGAGUUAACAAGGAAUCACAAACAUUGCAGACUUAAGAGGACAACUGAGUCAUGGCUCUUUGUGGUAUUGAUCAGAAAUGUGCUCUGUGCCUGGGAAAAUGUAUUGAGGACCUGUGUAAUUAUGAAACAGUGAAACCAUUAGAAAACUAAAUGAAACAAAAGUUAGCUGACAGUAAUUAUUGUCGCUUUUUCUCGUGAAAGGAUGAUCUUAUUACGGGGUACAUUUCAGGACAUCCUCAGUAUCAGAGUCAUGAUUCAGACCUUAGAUGAAACUGCCACAGCUGUCAGAUUUCAGAAACAAACGGCCUCAAACAACACAGCUUUCAGUCCAAACCUUAUGACUCGUGCUUGCACUGAACCUUUGCAGCUUGCACAUUGUUGACACUUGGCUGAUGUGUUGUGGGUAAGAUUGUCUGUGCAGGAGCCCAAACAUUCAUCUAAGGAAGAGUACAGUAUGCUCACUCUUGUCAUGCCCCACUGGCUGUCAGUCAUCCCACAUUUAGACCAACAUGUAGACAUGUUGAAGUUGAAGGUUGGUCUGGUUAACAAAAAAGUGCAACAAAGUGAAAUAUCAAGCUUAAAUUUGCAGCAAAAAAAUGUUUUUUCUUUUCUACAUCUGGAUAGAGCAGCUGGCUUUUAAGUGUUAUCAUUAUGAUUAAGUUUCGACAAAGUUCUGAUCAUGUUUGUGAUCUGAUCACCAGCAGAUCUCACUGCUGCUGCAGGGCACCACAAUUGCAAUUACUAGCCUCUGCAUAAAUGAAACACUUCUUUUCGUGCAUAAAACAUGGACAUAUGUCCCUGCUCUUACUAAUUCAUCUUGUUGUUAAUCCAGGUUUAAGUUUCAAUCAGCAUAUUGGAUCCCUUCAAUUACAGGGUCACUGCACUGUACUGUGCCUGACCUCUCACCUCCCUCACUUAACUAUCACACCAUUAUCACCAACUGUAACCAUGAACCUUUCCUCUGCACUGGCCACCAUGGAGCUGUCUAAAUUACAGAGAGAUCACAAGGUGUCUCUGUCUCCAGAAGCUCCUGCAGACUGUCAGUCAGACUGGAAUCAACUCAAAGAGCAGAAGAGAUAACGAUCAAAAGACAUGUUCAACCCUCAGAAUUGACAGUGUUGUCAUAACACUGCACAAAUUGUUCUUGUCUCCCGACGUUUUUAACAAUAGCCAGGGUUGGAACUUUUAAUAAUGUAUUCAAUCGCACAUUCGAUGCAGCAAACAAAUGUUUGAAAGGCCGUUACUAUUCAAACAUGUUAUAAUAAAAAGUGUCAGAGAAUCAAAGACAUGUCUACAAAAAGGGUAGGCUUCAUUUUUAACCUUUUUUAAACCUUUGUGCAUCUCAAAGAUUCUUGUCAUGUAACCUGAGAUUUCAUGAUGAGACAACAGUGAUAUUUGUUCCGUGAUGAGUGAAGAAGCAAAUAUGCAGUGUUCAGGGGCAGCCGCCCUGUUUGACUAAUAGAUACUAAUUUAUUUUGUUCCCCAAGUUGGUGGGUUAGGUCAGGCAGCAACGAGCUAAAUAUCUGGGUUUGCAACCUGAGCUGUAGGUGGUGAGAACAGGGCGAGAACUCUGCAGAAAAGGUAUGUGUCCAGUUGUGAUGUGAGCUUUUGUGUUGGUUUAAAUGGUUAGAAAUUACCACAGACCAGCACCCAUUUUGCAGCCUUCAGUCAUAGCUAAUAAUCUCCUGUGCUGAGAGUUUCAAGUUUGUGGUGAGACGCCUUCUCAUCUUGUUUUAUUUUGGCUGGACUUCCUUUGUUUCCCUGCCUGGUUUGGCUUUACUCUUUUCCAGGGCUUCCUCCCCUCCCCA